rnacentral:rRNA from 1 species
AUUGAACGCUGGCGGCAGGCCUAAAACAUGCAAGUCGAGCGAGCGGCGGACGGGUGAGUACAGUAUGGGGACUGCCCGAUAGAGGGGAAUAACUCCUGGAGAAGGUAUCUCAUAUCGCAUACUAUCUGAGCACCCAUAUGGGAUCAGAUAGUAGGUUGGGUAAUGGAUCACCUAGGCGACGAGCCCUAGCUGGUCUGAGAGGAUGAGCAGCCACACUGGGACUGAGACACGGCCCAGACUCCUACGGAGGCAGCAGUGGGGAAUAUUGCACAAUGGGCGCAAGCCUGAUGCAGCCAUGCCGCGUGUAUGAAGAAGGCCCUAGGGUUGUAAAGUACUUUCAGUCGGGAGGCGUUACCGACAGAAGAAGCACCGGCUAACUCCGUGCCAGCAGCCGCGGUAAUAC